GUUGGAGCUAGGGUUAGGGUUAGGGUUAGGGUUGGAGUUAGGGUUAGUGUUGGAGCUAGGGUUAGGGUUGGGCUUGGAGCUAGGAUUUUUCUGAGUGCACUGAACCAACUCCCGAGUCUCUAGGACAUUCCUAAAAAAAAAUUGAUUUUUUUCCCAUAGGAAUGCAUGGGUUAGGGUUAGGGUUAGGGUUGGAGCUAGGGUUAGGGUUAGGGUUAGGGUUAGGGUUGGAGUUAGGGUUAGUGUUGGAGCUAGGGUUAGGGUUGGGCUUGGAGCUAGGAUUUUUCUGAGUGCACUGAACCAACUCCCGAGUCUCUAGGACAUUCAUAAAAAAAUUUGAUUUUUUCCCAUAGGAAUGCAUGGGUUAGGGUUAUUGUUAGGGUUAGGGUUGGAGCUAGGGUUAGGGUUAGGGUUAGGGUUAGGGUUGGAGUUAGGGUUAGUGUUGGAGCUAGGGUUAGGGUUGGGCUUGGAGCUAGGAUUUUUCUGAGUGCACUGAACCAACUCC